rnacentral:rRNA from 1 species
GACGAACGCUGGCGGCAUGCCUAAUACAUGCAAGUCGAACGCACAGUUUAUACCGUAGCUUGCUACACCAUAGACUGUGAGUUGCGAACGGGUGAGUAACGCGUAGGUAACCUGCCUGGUAGCGUGGGGUAACUAUUGGAAACGAUAUCUAAUACCGCAUAAUAUUGAUUAUUGCAUGAUAAUUGAUUGAAAGCUGCUAUUGCAUCACUACCAGAUGGACCUGCGUUGUAUUAGCUAGUAGGUGAGGUAACGGCUCACCUAGGCGAAGAUACAUAGCCGACCUGAGAAGGAGAUCGGCCACACUGGGAACGGGAAAAGGCCCAGAACCCUUAGGGGGGGAGCAGGAGGGGAAUUUCGGAAAUGGACGGAAGUCCGACCGAGGACAGACGGGUGAGUGGAGAAGGGUUUCGGGUCGUAAAGCUCCGUUGUAAGGGAAGAACGGGUGUGAGGGUGGAAAGUUCACACUGUGACGGUACCUAAACAGAAAGAGACGGCUAACUACGUG